GUGGUAGCUCAGUGGUAGAGCACACCCUUGGUAAGGGUGAGGUCGAGAGUUCAAUCCUCUCUCAC
rnacentral:ncRNA from 14 species